AUUGAACGCUGGCGGCAUGCUUUACACAUGCAAGUCGAACGGCAGCGCGGGCUUCGGCCUGGCGGCGAGUGGCGAACGGGUGAGUAAUGCAUCGGAACGUGCCCAGUAGUGGGGGAUAGCCCGGCGAAAGCCGGAUUAAUACCGCAUACGACCUGAGGGUGAAAGCGGGGGACCGAAAGGCCUCGCGCUAUUGGAGCGGCCGAUGUGGGAUUAGCUAGUUGGUGGGGUAAAGGCUUACCAAGGCGACGAUCCGUAGCUGGUCUGAGAGGACGACCAGCCACACUGGGACUGAGACACGGCCCAGACUCCUACGGGAGGCAGCAGUGGGGAAUUUUGGACAAAGGGGGCAACCCUGAUCCAGCCAUGCCGCGUGCGGGAAGAAGGCCUUCGGGUUGUAAACCGCUUUUGUUCGGGAAGAAAUCCUGUGGGCUAAUACCCCGGGGGGAUGACGGUACCGGAAGAAUAAGCACCGGCUAACUACGUG
rnacentral:rRNA from 1 species